rnacentral:rRNA from 1 species
AUUGAACGCUGGCGGAAUGCUUUACACAUGCAAGUCGAGCGGCAGCGCGGGGGCAACCCUGGCGGCGAGCGGCGAACGGGUGAGUAAUGUAUCGGAACGUACCCAGUCGUGGGGGAUAACUAUCCGAAAGGAUAGCUAAUACCGCAUACGACCUGAGGGUGAAAGCGGGGGACCGUAAGGCCUCGCGCGAUUGGAGCGGCCGAUAUCGGAUUAGCUAGUUGGUGGGGUAACGGCCUACCAAGGCUUCGAUCCGUAGCUGGUCUGAGAGGACGAUCAGCCACACUGGGACUGAGACACGGCCCAGACUCCUACGGGAGGCAGCAGUGGGGAAUCUUGCGCAAUGGGGGGCAACCCUGACGCAGCCAUGCCGCGUGAACGAUGAAGGCCUUAGGGUUGUAAAGUUCUUUUACCCGUGACGAUGAUGACGGUAACGGGGGAAUAAGCUCCGGCUAACUUCGUGCCAGCAGCCGCGGU